ACUGGACGCGGCGUGCAGGGCUGCAACCAGUACGCGCUGGCCGUGUGGCGUCGCGUCCGUCAGAAGCUGGAAGGUCGCGACCCUGACCCCACCCGGCCGGCCAGCGUGGCCGAGCAGGUGGACUUCACCAUCCAGGAGGCGACUAAUGUCACCAACCUGGCGCUCCUCUAUGAGGG